AGGAGAGAAGGAAAGGAGGAAGAGAAAACGAAGUGGGGGAAGGGGGGAAUGAAAUCCUGCUGCAUCGGAAAUGUUGGUUAUUGAUAUGAAAAUAUUAAAGAAGAAAUAAAAUAAAAAAUAAAAAAAUGGCAGUGAUUGGUCAGCUUAUCCAAUGGCCCAUCCUGAGCUAGGAUGGAUGCUUCCGUGGCUGCGGAGUCGCGUGG
rnacentral:lncRNA from 1 species